rnacentral:rRNA from 1 species
ACGGGUGAGUAACGCGUUGGUGACCUGCCCCAAAGUGUGGGAUAACAGUUCGAAAGGAUUGCUAAUACCGCAUGUGGUUAUCAGAUUUAGAAACUGAUAACUAAAGCAGUAAUGCGCUUUGGGAGGGACCUGCGUCCCAUCAGCUAGUUGGUGAGGUAACGGCUCACCAAGGCGACGACGGGUAGGGGACCUGAGAGGGUGGCCCCCCACAAUGGAACUGAAACACGGUCCAUACACCUACGGGUGGCAGCAGUAGGGAAUAUUGCUCAAUGGGCGAAAGCCUGAAGCAGCAACGCCGCGUGUGCGAUGAAGGCCUUCGGGUCGUAAAGCACUUUUCUGAGGGAUGAGAAAGGACAGUACCUCAGGAAUAAGUCUCGGCUAACUACGUGCCAGCAGCCGCGGUAAAACGUAGGAGGCAAGCGUUAUCCGGAUUCACUGGGCGUAAAGCGCGUGCAGGCGGUUCGGUAAGUUGGGCGUGUAAUCUCUUGGCUUAACUGGGAGAGGUCGUUCAAUACUACCGGACUUGAGAAUGGUAGAGGAAGAUGGAAUUCCCGGUGUAGUGGUGAAAUGCGUAGA